UUGAGAUUAAGGGACGGAGGCAGUUCAGAUGAAUCAUGCCGGAUUCUUUCCUCAGGCAACAGUCGUAAGGUUCUCCGGGUAUGUCCCCACUAGAGUUCGGACUCGAUCUGCAGAGUUCCAAAUUCGUUUGACGUUGUAUGGAUUACCAAAUUCGUUUCAUUACGAUUUACUACGAGUUUACGACCGCAUCAUCGAGAUACGGAUCCUGCUCGUCCUCAUCGAUCGCCUGCCUGACGACCAUGCUGCCUAUCUUCUUCAUUACGUCGAGCUCGAGGAGGCGCCGCGAGGCCGAGGAGGCAGCGGCUAAAAGGGAGGCGGUGGAUGCUAAAUUGACGAAGGCGAUGGAGAUAUUCGCAGCAAUAUCAGGUGCUGGAGCGGGAGCAAAAGAAGAGACGGAAAAGGCAAACGAAGCAGCGGAAAAGGCAUCACCGCCGGCAUCUUGAUCGAGCUGCGACGUCGUCGUCGUCGUCUGCAACUUUUAAUUAGUUGGGUUCUUGGGCUGUACUACCAAAUAUGGGGGAAGGCAAGAGCAGCCGCGGAGAAAGCAAGAGAAACGGCGGCGGCGGCGGCAGUGCCAGCAGCAUCUCCCCGCCGAAGUCGCCGCUAAUCAUACCAUGGCGGCAUGGCGCACCACCGGCACCUUUAUCGAGCUGCGACGCCGUCUGCAGCUUUAGUUUGGUUGUUGGUGAGGUACUAGUGAAAUAUGGGAUCGUAUUAACGAACUAUGAUUGUUUAUC
rnacentral:lncRNA from 1 species